AAUAUUGGACAAUGGGCGAAAGCCUGAUCCAGCCAUGCCGCGUGUGUGAAGAAGGUCNNNGGAUUNUCAAGCACUUUAAGUUGNGAGNAAGGGUUGUAGGUUAAUACCCUGCAAUUUUGACGUUACCAACAGAAUAAGCACCGGCUAACUUCGUGCCAGCAGCCGCGGUAAUACGAAGGGUGCAAGCGUUAAUCGGAAUUACUGGGCGUAAAGCGCGCGUAGGUGGUUUGAUAAGUUGGAUGUGAAAUCCCCGGGCUUAACCUGGGAACUGCUUUCAUAACUGCUGAGCUAGAGUACGGUAGAGGGUAGUGGAAUUUCCUGUGUAGCGGUGAAAUGCGUAGAUAUAGGAAGGAACACCAGUGGCGAAGGCGACCACCUGGGCUAAUACUGACACUGAGGUGCGAAAGCGUGGGGAGCAAACAGG
rnacentral:rRNA from 1 species